rnacentral:lncRNA from 1 species
AAAAAGUUGGACUUCUGGCAGUAUCCAUAUUUUCCUCCCUGGCUCUGUGCAGAAAGGAUGUGACAGCUGUCAGAGAACCAAAUGGAGUGAAAGUUCCCUAGAAUGGCAUUUUGACAGGGAUGACUCAAGAGUUAAGCAGGGCCAACCGUAUACCUAAAAGGCUUUUCUUACUUCAGGGAGCUCAUGCCGCACCUGCUGAGUAGAGCCCCAAGCUCAGCCUAAACACUCUGACCUGACACCCCAUGAGCAGGGGGCUGUGAGUAGCCUCCUCACUUUUCCCAGAGGACCCAGGUACAGUAAAUCUUGGACCUGAAGGUCUUGGUUCAUUUACCUUACACUGGAUAAAUAGUUCUUAUGGAGACUGGGUCAUGGGGCUGCUCAGGACUUAAGAGAUGUGCCACCUUGCAUUUGGAAAAUAUUUUAUCCAAACAAAUGGAACCUUGCUGAACACAGGUACAGGAGUCCCCUCGCUGUUCUUUCUCCUACUGGACUGUGCUUUGCCUCACUAUAGAGGAGGGGCAUCAGAGGAUUGAGCCUAACGUUUCUCUCCAGGACAUGGGGAGUACUAGGCAGUCCAUGCUUCUUUCAGCAGCUGCCUGAAACCACAGGUGGCUCCACCCAGUGCUUCACUGAAUGGAGGUCUGCUGCCUCCCGAGAAGCCCAUUCAGGCUAUCCCCCCAACAAAUCUGGCAGCUACCAACCCUCACAGGUACAUCCUGGCCAGUCCAGCACACAGAGAAGCUGUGAUGGAAAUUUUGUGCAACUCUGUUUCCAGGAACACUCUUGCAACUCUGAAGGCUUGUCUGUUUGGACUUCAAAGAAGAACAAGGUUCACUUAUGCCCAAUGGAAAAGAUCAUCUACCUCAUAUCCAGAAGACUGCAAAAUACCAUUGUGCCUCAUUGUCUCUGACUAGGUUAUGUGCCUACUCCUAAAACAAUCACUCUAAUGGUAUUUCAGUGCUCUGGAAGUUUACACUUAAGUUGUUCCAAAGAGGAAAAUGAAGGCACUAUUACCAGAAGAACUGUGAUUGGAUGCUAGGCUGCAAUUCCAAAUGAUAUUGCAAUUCAACACAUUUUGCUGCUCAGAAUUUAUACGAACCCUUCUUGUCAUAUAUACUCAUUCAAAAAAUGUCUCCACAAAAGUGUUCUUUCAUCAAUUACUGAUGGAAUGGGAAUUGUUAUCAGGUUUGGAAAAUACCUUUGCAAGAGUAACUGCUAUUUUACUUCUAAGGCAAUAGAUUAGUUUGACUGUUUUUGAAGUUUAAAUAAAUUGUAAAGAAAACUGUGUGCCCUUUUGUUGUCUUCAUUUCAACAUACUUGUAAGAUUUAUUCAUGUUGUUAAAUGUGGUUGUAGUCUCAUUGUAUGAAUAUACCAAAAACAUAUACAGUCUACUGCUGAUGGACAUUUGGGUGAUUUCCAGCUUAGAGCUAUUAUACAUGGUUGAACACAUCUAUUU